GACGAACGCUGGCGGCGUGCUUAACACAUGCAAGUCGAGCGGUAAGGCCCUUCGGGGGUACACGAGCGGCGAACGGGUGAGUAACACGUGGGUGACCUGCCCUCAGCUCUGGGAUAAGCCUGGGAAACCGGGUCUAAUACCGGAUAUGACUCCAUGACGCAUGUUGUGGGGUGGAAAGCCUUGUGCGGCUGAGGAUGGGCCCGCGGCCUAUCAGCUUGUUGGUGGGGUGAUGGCCUACCAAGGCGACGACGGGUAGCCGGCCUGAGAGGGCGACCGGCCACACUGGGACUGAGACACGGGCCCAGACUCCUACGGGAGGGCAGCAGUGGGGAAUCUUGCGCAAUGGGCGAAAGCCUGACGCAGUCGACGCCGCGUGAGGGAUGACGGCCU
rnacentral:rRNA from 1 species